rnacentral:rRNA from 1 species
GAGACCCGUACCCACAGUUGCCAGCGGCUGCUCCGGCAGGCUGGGUACACCGUGGGGACCGCCUCUGCUAAAGAGGAGGAAGGAGCGGGCGACGGUAGGUCAGUAUGCCCCGAAUUCUCCGGGCUACACGCGGGCUACAAUGAAUGGGACAAUGGGUCCCUCCCCUGAAAAGGGCUGGUAAUCUCACAAACCCAUCCUUAGUUCGGAUCGAGGGCUGUAACUCGCCCUCGUGAAGCUGGAAUCCGUAGUAAUCGCGUUUCAAUAUAGCGCGGUGAAUAC